UGUAUCUAGCACACGGGAGAGGGUUGUGGUUGGUGGAACCUCAGUACACCUUUCCCGGUGAGACUGACCACGGAGCAGCACCAGCUUCACAGGACAACAGCUGUUCUCUUGAAGAAAACAGAAGAACUGUCCUGUGUUGGGUGGAACCAAGGCCAGGGUUGUCAGGAGAUGUGAUGCUGACUGUUCAGC